UUAGUCAGGAAGGCCAAACACAAAACUACAUGCAUACACUGUGUACUCCAAAUACAAGAGAAGGCUAACUAAUUUCUACGCGUACCGAGCUGGGACAAGUAACAUGCGGUUGUUUGGAUCUAUUGCUAUGUGUAAAAAGUACUCAAGGUACUCUCAUCCGACUUGAAUCGAUAGAACGAGCUACUAAUUACGCAGAAAUAAGAACGAGUUUACGGUGUUGUCGUGAAGGCAUCCAUAGGAGUUUGAAACAUUUCGGAAAGAAUAUUGGAAUUACGAGCAGCUACCAAGCAAUAAAGAAACGAUUACCUCAGGAAUUUUCGUACUAGAUAAUAACAUAAAAUAGAUGUAUAAUGCCCCGAAGAAGCGUUACUCAGAGAGCAAUCCAUUUAUAUUUGAAUGAAUAGAGAAAUAAAUGAACUAAUCCAGAUCGAAAAGUG